rnacentral:rRNA from 1 species
AAAAUUCUAUUUUACAUAAUAUCCACUAUAUCUAGCUUGGUAUGCUUCCAUCCUCUAUCUUAUGGAAUGGUCUAUUUCCACUUUCCAGUUAUCACGAUGCUCCUACCGCCUUUGUGCUUUUGUUUAUACUACUGUGAAUAAUUCUUAUAGAAUUUGAGUUUACAUGCCAAUCAAUCAGUGUUUAAGUGUCGUGGGUUUCAAGAAAAUUCUCCAUAAACUAAACCAGAAGGAUGAAAAUAGAUAUUUGUAAUUUUAUUAAAUAAUGAUAUGCAUAUAAUAUUUGUCAUGUGGGAAAUUGAGUUUUAAAUUAACUAUUUGCAUCUAAUCAAGGUGGCACAACCACCGAAAUGUUUACUCCAGGUACAUGUCCCUAUCACUCACACUUCUGCAUAAGAAAU